rnacentral:rRNA from 1 species
CAAUAGCGUAUAUUUAAGUUGCUGCAGUUAAAAAGCUCGUAGUUGGAUUUCGGGUGGGAAUGGCCGGUCCGCCGUUUCGAUGUGCACUUGCUACGCCCACCUUGCUGCCGGGGACGUGCUCUUGAGUUCACGCUCGGGACACGGAGUCGGCGAGGUUACUUUGAGUAAAUUAGAGUGUUCAAAGCAGGCCUACGCUCUGAAUACAUUAGCAUGGAAUAACACGAUAGGACUCUGGCCUAUCUUGUUGGUCUGUAGGACCGGAGUAAUGAUUAAGAGGGACAGUCGGGGGCAUUCGUAUUUCAUUGUCAGAGGUGAAAUUCUUGGAUUUAUGAAAGACGAACUACUGCGAAAGCAUUUGCCAAGGAUGUUUUCAUUAA